rnacentral:misc_RNA from 1 species
UAUCGAAAAGGGGGGGGCACACGCCCCCAUCUCACACACACUUGUGCACAACCCGCGUCCGUCGGUCCUCGCGAGGGGAUCGUCGGUCUCGAUCACACACCCAGACGUAUGGCCAUAGAAUGUAAACAAGUGAACUAUAUACAACCUUCAGCAACGGAUCUCUUGGCUCUCGCAUCGAUGAAGAACGCAGCGAAUCGCGAUAUGUAAUGUGAAUUGCAGAUUUCCAGUGAAUCAUCGAAUCUUUGAACGCACCUUGCGCUCUCCGGUACUCCGGAGAGCAUGCCUGUUUGAGUGUCAUUUUAAUUCUCAACCAUGUCUCGGCAUGGCUUGGACUUGGGAGUUGCUGGCAUCGCAAGACGUCGGCUCUCCUUAAACGCAUUAGUGGACCAGCGUGUUCCUCGGACGUGCACGGCCUCGUUCGACGUGAUAACGAUCGUCGUCGGGCUGGAGCGUCUGGAAUCAAGCCUCUGCUUCCAACUCGAGUGACUCGGCCUGCUCAGCUACUAGUCUAGCCACGAACGCGAGCAGGCUCAGCCUCAUCACACCCCAAUUG